rnacentral:rRNA from 1 species
GACGAACGCUGGCGGCGCGCUUAACACAUGCAAGUCGAACGGAAAGGCCUGCUUUCCCUUGUGGAUUGCGGGUACUCGAGUGGCGAACGGGUGAGUAACACGUGAGUGAUCUGCCCCCAACUUGGGUAUAAGCCUGGGAAACUGGGUCUAAUUCCCGAUAGGACUGCAGGGUGGUGCCUGUGGUGGAAAACGAUUUUCUAGUGGUUGGGGAUGAGCUCGCGGCCUAUCAGCUUGUUGGUGGGGUAAUGGCCUACCAAGGCGGCGACGGGUAGCCGGCCUGAGAGGGUGGACGGCCACAUUGGGACUGAGAUACGGCCCAGAAUCCUACGGGAGGCAGGAGUGGGGAAUAUUGCACAAUGGGCGGAAGCCUGAUGCAGCGACGCCGCGUGGGGGAUGACGGCCUUCGGGUUGUAAACUCCUUUCGACCGCGAGGAAGCCACCUGGUUGGAAGGGUGGUGACGGUAGUGGUAGAAGAAGCACCGGCUAACUACGUG